UCGGCGCGGACCGCGCAGACUGAAUAAUAAAAGGGGAGCGGCGAAGAGGCAGGAAGACAGGACCAUGUCGAAGGGCCCCGGGCCCGGCGGCUCCGCAGCUUCCUCGGCGCCCCCGGCCGCUACCGCUCAGGUGCUGCAGGCACAGCCCGAGAAACCGCAGCACUACACGUGCUGUGCGUGUUUAGAAGGACCCCCCAGGUGGACGUGAGCCUUGCAACCCUUAAGAGCCACCCAGUAAUGCCGCCUGGUGAGCCGAGAGCAGGAAGCCUCUAUUGGAGUAGAAGGAACUGAAACUAGACAGGAGGAGCUCCUGUUUGUCACUCACCGAACUAUGUUAGAUACUAAAGAAGGCUUCCCCACAAUCCAUUUGCAUCUGCUUUGACUGGUGGUUUCUAUCAACCUACAAAGACUGACUUAUUGGUGAGGGCAGCUGGACAACUCUGAGAGCAACUUAGAGAAAUCCAUCUUGGGCACACUCUAUAAAGGAGCUCCUUCUCUGGAAAUAGCACCCCAGAUAAGUGCACAAAAGCAAGACACCCUCGUGGACCUACUUCCUCCCGCUUUCAACACCCUGAUGCCUGAAGCUAUGCUUGAUACUAAAGGAGGUUUUCCCACAUUUGCAUCUUCUGUGUUUUGAAAUUGCAACUAUGGACAGUUAUGGCUAAUCCUAGUAGAUUGUCUUCCCUUCUUUUAACAUCUUGGAUGAAUUUGGGGCACACUAAUGUGUUAAGUGAAGAUGGAUGUUGAAUAUACUGUGUAGAUUCACACCAGCCAGCCAUCUUAAAAUACUGCAUGGGCCACAGAGAUAUCUGCGGAGAAAGUAUGGGUAAAAUCAGUGCAUAUGAUAAUAGUUUGUAGAAUUUGACAGCAGUAUCAAGAGCUGAUGAGGAAGAGAAGAUGGAAAGGAGUCUAGCGACUUAAAAAUCUCAUAGCGUUCUCUGUGAGGUGACCUUUUUCCUGUUGGGGGCUCAACUUAUUUAGGAGAUAAAGAAGAUACUCAGGCCUGUGAUAGUAUCAUCAUGUCAUAUCUGAGCUUAUUGAAAUGUUGCAUCCCUUUCCUUAUUCUUUAUAUCACAGUUUACUUUUUGUGUUCCUAAGUCGACUCAUUUGUUUCCUACUAGUAUUUGAAACAUCAUGUGGCCACCAUAAGUCCUAACAAAUUAACUUCUGAUGAGGAGGGGAAAGGCCCACGUGCCCACCUUCCUGUGAAAUUUGGGCAUUGUCACGAAACUACCCCCAUUGAGGAGACGUAGUUAUGCUUAGGAAAGAAGAGGUUGAGAAAAACUUUUGGCUUGGUGUUUUAUGACUUAAAAGUUUCAAAUAGUAGUUUUUAUAUGUAAGUUUCUAUUAAUAUUGGUGAGAACAUUACUGUGUCUUUUUGAUGAAACUUUCACUGCUUAGAGGUGCCAAGUAUUUGGUAGCCCAUCACAUUAGGAUUUGUGUAAAUCAGUCUUUCCAAAUAUAACAUAAAUUAGAAGCCCGUACUUGUAUUUUCUAUUUAAAAGAAAAAACCCAAAACUUAAAUUUUAUAAUUGAACUAAGAGUACUUUAUAAUGAAUA